UACGUAGGGACCAAGCGUUGUUCGGAUUUACUGGGCGUAAAGGGCGCGUAGGCGGCGUGGUAAGUCAGCUGUGAAAUCUCCGAGCUUAACUCGGAACGGUCAGCUGAUACUGCUGUGCUAGAGUACAGAAAGGGCAAUCGGAAUUCUUGGUGUAGCGGUGAAAUGCGUAGAUAUCAGGAGGAACACCAGCGGCGAAGGCGGCGCUCUGGGCUGGAACUGACGCUGAGGAGCGAAAGCGUGGGGAGCGAACAGG
rnacentral:rRNA from 1 species